rnacentral:rRNA from 1 species
UGACUCAGGGAGGUAGUGACAAUAAAUAACAAUACAGGGCCUUUUUAGGUCUUGUAAUUGGAAUGAGAACAAUUUAAAUCCCUUAUCGAGGACCCAUUAGAGGGCAAGUCUGGUGCCAGCAGCCGCGGUAACUCCAGCUCUAAUAGCGUAUAUUAAUGUUGUUGCAGUUAAAAAGCUCGUAGUUGGAUUUUGGUGUUUGACAAACGGUCGGCCUUACGGUUUGUACUGUUUGUUGGCACUUCUUUUCUGGGGAACUCACUGUUCUUAAUUGAAGGGUGUUGUAACGCAGAUCGUUUACUUUGAAAAAAUUAGAGUGUUCAAAGCAGGCCAACGCAUUGAAUACAUUAGCAUGGAAUAAUGGAAUAGGACUUUGGUCUUAUUUUGUUGGUUUCUAAGGCCGAGGUAAUGAUUAAUAGGGAUAGUUGGGGGCGUUUAUAUUCCGUUGUCAGAGGUGAAAUUCUUGGAUUUACGGAAGAUAAACUACUGCGAAAGCAUUCGCCAAGGAUGUUUUCAUUAAUCAAGAACGAAAGUUAGGGGAUCGAAGACGAUCAGAUACCGUCGUAGUCUUAACCAUAAACCAUGCCGACUAGGGAUCAGCAGACGUUCUUUAACGACUCUGUUGGCACCUUGUGAGAAAUCAAAGUUUUUGGGUUCCGGGGGGAGUAUGGUCGCAAGGCUGAAACUUAAAGGAAUUGACGGAAGGGCACCACCAGGAGUGGAGCCUG